rnacentral:rRNA from 1 species
UACGUAGGGUGCAAGCGUUAAUCGGAAUUACUGGGCGUAAAGCGCGCGCAGGCGGUCUUCCAAGUCAGUGGUGAAAGCCCGGAGCUCAACUCCGGAAUUGCCAUUGAAACUGUGAGACUGGAGUACGAGAGAGGUGAGUGGAAUUCCCAGUGUAGAGGUGAAAUUCGUAGAUAUUGGGAAGAACACCGGUGGCGAAGGCGGGUCUCUGGGCCGAUACUGACGCUGAGGAGCGAAAGCGUGGGGAGCGAACAGG